rnacentral:rRNA from 1 species
UUUUCAAAAACAUCUUUUCUUGUUAGUUUUUGAAGUAUGGCCUGCCCGCUGAUUUUAGGUUGAAGGGCCGCGGUAUUUUGACCGUGCAAAGGUAGCAUAAUCAUUAGUUCUUUAAUUGUGAUCUGGUAUGAAUGGCUUGACGAGGCAUGGGCUGUCUUGGAUUGGAAUUGUUUAUUGAAUUUGGUUUUUGAGUUAGAAUUCUUAAAUGUUUUUAUGGGACGAGAAGACCCUAUAGAGUUUAACAUUUAUUUAUAUAGCUUGUUUAUAGGUUUGUUUUGUAGUUGCUUUGUGUUAAUGUGUUUUGUUGGGGUGAUGGGAAGAAUUUUCUUAACUCUUCUUUAUUUUGGUAUAUUGAUUUAUAUUGGUUUUGAUCCAUUUAUUUUGAUUAUAAGAUUAAAUUACCUUAGGGAUAACAGCGUUAUCCUCCUUGAGAGUUCUUAUUGGCGGGAGGGUUUGCGACCUCGAUGUUGGAUUAAGGUUGAUUUUUGGUGUAGGAGCUGAAUUGAUUAGGUCUGUUCGACCUUUAAAAUCUUACGUGAUCUG